CCUACGGGGGGCAGCAGUGGGGAAUAUUGCACAAUGGGGGAAACCCUGAUGCAGCAACGCCGCGUGAGUGAAGAAGUAUUUCGGUAUGUAAAGCUCUAUCAGCAGGGAAGAAGAUGACGGUACCUGAGUAAGAAGCCCCGGCUAACUACGUGCCAGCAGCCGCGGUAAUACGUAGGGGGCAAGCGUUAUCCGGAUUUACUGGGUGUAAAGGGAGCGUAGACGGCUGCGCAAGUCUGAAGUGAAAGCCCGGGGCUCAACCCCGGGACUGCUUUGGAAACUGUGUAGCUAGAGUGCUGGAGAGGCAAGCGGAAUUCCUAGUGUAGCGGUGAAAUGCGUAGAUAUCACGAAGAACCCCGAUUGCGAAGGCAGCUUGCUGCAGCGGAACUGACGCUGAUGCUCGAAAGCGCGGGUAUCGAACAGGAUUAGAUACCCUUGUAGUC
rnacentral:rRNA from 1 species